AGCUUUGCACAGUGGCAGUAUCAUAGUCAGUGAGGUUUAUCCAAGGCACAAUUAUUGCUAAUUGAAAACUUCCCAAUACCCUGCCAUGACGACUUGAAAUAUAGCCGGCAUUGAAAGUUAAUUCCAGGUAUAUUAA
rfam:Camelus ferus unplaced genomic scaffold scaffold112, whole genome shotgun sequence.